rnacentral:rRNA from 1 species
AGAGUUUGAUCAUGGCUCAGAUUGAACGCUGGCGGCAUGCCUUACACAUGCAAGUCGAACGGUAACAGGUCUUCGGAUGCUGACGAGUGGCGAACGGGUGAGUAAUACAUCGGAACGUGCCCAGUAAUGGGGGAUAGCUCGGCGAAAGCCGGAUUAAUACCGCAUACGCCCUGAGGGGGAAAGUGGGGGACCGCAAGGCCUCACGUUAUUGGAGCGGCCGAUGGCUGAUUAGCUAGUUGGUAGGGUAAAGGCCUACCAAGGCGACGAUCAGUAGCUGGUCUGAGAGGACGAUCAGCCACACUGGGACUGAGACACGGCCCAGACUCCUACGGGAGGCAGCAGUGGGGAAUUUUGGACAAUGGGGGAAACCCUGAUCCAGCAAUGCCGCGUGUGCGAAGAAGGCCUUCGGGUUGUAAAGCACUUUUGUCAGGGAAGAAAUCCUUUGGGCUAAUACCCUAGGGGGAUGACGGUACCUGAAGAAUAAGCACCGGCUAACUACGUGCCAGCAGCCGCGGUAAUACGUAGGGUGCAAGCGUUAAUCGGAAUUACUGGGCGUAAAGCGUGCGCAGGCGGUUGUGUAAGACAGGUGUGAAAUCCCCGGGCUUAACCUGGGAAUUGCAUUUGUGACUGCACGACUAGAGUGUGUCAGAGGGGGGUGGAAUUCCACGUGUAGCAGUGAAAUGCGUAGAUAUGUGGAGGAACACCAAUGGCGAAGGCAGCCCCCUGGGAUAACACUGACGCUCAUGCACGAAAGCGUGGGGAGCAAACAGGAUUAGAUACCCCGGUAGUCC